AUGAACGCUAGCUACAGGCUUAACACAUGCAAGUCGAGGGGCAGCAUUUUAGUUUGCUUGCAAACUGAAGAUGGCGACCGGCGCACGGGUGAGUAACACGUAUCCAACCUGCCGAUAACUCCGGAAUAGCCUUUCGAAAGAAAGAUUAAUACCGGAUAGCAUACGAAUAUCGCAUGAUAUUUUUAUUAAAGAAUUUCGGUUAUCGAUGGGGAUGCGUUCCAUUAGUUUGUUGGCGGGGUAACGGCCCACCAAGACUACGAUGGAUAGGGGUUCUGAGAGGAAGGUCCCCCACAUUGGAACUGAGACACGGUCCAAACUCCUACGGGAGGCAGCAGUGAGGAAUAUUGGUCAAUGGGCGAGAGCCUGAACCAGCCAAGUAGCGUGAAGGAUGAAGGCUCUAUGGGUCGUAAACUUCUUUUAUAUGGGAAUAAAGUUUUCCACGUGUGGAAUUUUGUAUGUACCAUAUGAAUAAGGAUCGGCUAACUCCGUGCCAGCAGCCGCGGUAAUACGGAGGAUCCGAGCGUUAUCCGGAUUUAUUGGGUUUAAAGGGAGCGUAGGUGGAUUGUUAAGUCAGUUGUGAAAGUUUGCGGCUCAACCGUAAAAUUGCAGUUGAAACUGGCAGUCUUGAGUACAGUAGAGGUGGGCGGAAUUCGUGGUGUAGCGGUGAAAUGCUUAGAUAUCACGAAGAACUCCGAUUGCGAAGGCAGCUCACUAGACUGUCACUGACACUGAUGCUCGAAAGUGUGGGUAUCAAACAGGAUUAGAUACCCUGGUAGUCCACACAGUAAACGAUGAAUACUCGCUGUUUGCGAUAUACAGUAAGCGGCCAAGCGAAAGCAUUAAGUAUUCCACCUGGGGAGUACGCCGGCAACGGUGAAACUCAAAGGAAUUGACGGGGGCCCGCACAAGCGGAGGAACAUGUGGUUUAAUUCGAUGAUACGCGAGGAACCUUACCCGGGCUUAAAUUGCAACAGAAUAUAUUGGAAACAGUAUAGCCGUAAGGCUGUUGUGAAGGUGCUGCAUGGUUGUCGUCAGCUCGUGCCGUGAGGUGUCGGCUUAAGUGCCAUAACGAGCGCAACCCUUAUCUUUAGUUACUAACAGGUUAUGCUGAGGACUCUAGAGAGACUGCCGUCGUAAGAUGUGAGGAAGGUGGGGAUGACGUCAAAUCAGCACGGCCCUUACGUCCGGGGCUACACACGUGUUACAAUGGGGGGUACAGAAGGCGGCUACCUGGUGACAGGAUGCUAAUCCCAAAAACCUCUCUCAGUUCGGAUCGAAGUCUGCAACCCGACUUCGUGAAGCUGGAUUCGCUAGUAAUCGCGCAUCAGCCACGGCGCGGUGAAUACGUUCCCGGGCCUUGUACACACCGCCCGUCAAGCCAUGAAAGCCGGGGGUACCUGAAGUACGUAACCGCAAGGAGCGUCCUAGGGUAAAACUGGUAAUUGGGGCU
rnacentral:rRNA from 1 species